GACGAACGCUGGCGGCGUGCCUAAUGCAUGCGAGUUGAGCGCUGAAGGUUGGUACUUGUACCAACUGGAUGAGCAGCGAACGGGUGAGUAACGCGUGGGGAAUCUGCCUUUGAGCGGGGGACAACAUUUGGAAACGAAUGCUAAUACCGCAUAAAAACUUUAAACACAAGUUUUAAGUUUGAAAGAUGCAAUUGCAUCACUCAAAGAUGAUCCCGCGUUGUAUUAGCUAGUUGGUGAGGUAAAGGCUCACCAAGGCGAUGAUACAUAGCCGACCUGAGAGGGUGCUCGGCCACAUUGGGACUGAGACACGGCCCAAACUCCUACGGGAGGCAGCAGUAGGGAAUCUUCGGCAAUGGACGAAAGUCUGACCGAGCAACGCCGCGUGAGUGAAGAAGGUUUUCGGAUCGUAAAACUCUGUUGGUAGAGAAGAACGUUGGUGAGAGUGGAAAGCUCAUCAAGUGACGGUAACUACCCAGAAAGGGACGGCUAACUACGUG
rnacentral:rRNA from 1 species